rnacentral:rRNA from 1 species
GAUGAACGCUGGCGGCGUGCCUAAUACAUGCAAGUCGAGCGAACAGACGAGGAGCUUGCUCCUCUGACGUUAGCGGCGGACGGGUGAGUAACACGUGGAUAACCUACCUAUAAGACUGGGAUAAUUUCGGGAAACCGGCGCUAAUACCGGAUAAUAUAUUGAACCGCAUGGUUCAAUAGUGAAAGACGGUUUUGCUGUCACUUAUAGAUGGAUCCGCGCCGCAUUAGCUAGUUGGUAAGGUAACGGCUUACCAAGGCAACGAUGCGUAGCCGACCUGAGAGGGUGAUCGGCCACACUGGAACUGAGACACGGUCAAGACUCCUACGGGAGGCAGCAGUAGGGAAUCUUCCGCAAUGGGCGAAAGCCUGACGGAGCAACGCCGCGUGAGUGAUGAAGGUCUUCGGAUCGUAAAACUCUGUUAUUAGGGAAGAACAAAUGUGUAAGUAACUAUGCACGUCUUGACGGUACCUAAUCAGAAAGCCACGGCUAACUACGUG